rnacentral:lncRNA from 1 species
GUCUACCCAAAGCCCAGACAUACCUUCCAAACCUACAUCUUCCCCUGAAUGCUGAAGAAACUUAAAUCCAGGUAAAAUGAUGCCAAGGCCAUUUCCAAAGCCUGCUUUGACAUGUACACUUGGCUCACUAUCCCACAGAAAAGCCUAGACUUUGGUAGCCCAGACAGUAAAGAGAAAAGCUGUUUAUCAGAAGAGAAUCAUGGUUAAUCCAUAGCACAAGACAUGUACAGAAGAUGUAAAUUCUCAUGGUAGCCCAAGCACAGACUUCUCCCAAGAGCACAAGAGUUUUCAUUUUCAGCCAAUCUGUGCAAAUCAUUAUGAUACUUUAUGUGUCAAGGUAAAAAGAUAAAGCAUGGGUUAUUUAAAAUCUGGGUUUCUUACCAUGUAUUUAAGUAUGCCCAUGUAUGGUACAAGAAUCUCCAUUUGUUCUCCAAAUCUGUGCCUUUCAAAUGGGUGGAUGACCCCUGCAGAAUUGAAGGAGCUGGGCAAAUGUAUCUUUUUGAAACAAUACAAUGCCAAUGCUCUGGGUGGGGAAGACAGAUACACAGAACACAGUGGAAGCUUUGAAAUGACUGAAUAAAUGUCACCCUAAAAACCUUCAUCAUUAUGUUGGCUUGGUGAGAGGCGGGGGGAGAAAAAUAAAGUUUCAGAGGGGCGGGGGAGCCUCGAUCUUUUACCUUUAAAUGAAGCAUUAAGGCAGAAGAAACCCAGGCUCAGAGGGCUGAGAGGGAAUUGACGCAAAGAGAGGGUACAAACAAAUUCCUUAUAAAAUCAAGAGUGCUGGCUGGGUAAGACCAAGUCACCACUUAUGGAUCAGAGUUACUCCAACACAAAACUUCAAAGAAAUCUGUAAGAAGCUCCUGAUACGUGCUACCAACAUGCUUUUGAGCUCCCUGUGACAUUGACCUCUCCAAGAUAGCAUGCGUGCCUUCUCAUAGUGACUUCAACACAACCACUUGCCUUGAAGGGAAUUGGCUGAGGUGGCCCAGAUGCUUUAUGCACUCCUGAAUUUGCCCAGCCUGACAUAGAUAUUUCACCCCUAUAAACAAGCGUGCUGCUGAGAUCAUUUCUUCAUCACCAACACUGAUUAUAACAUAUAAAAUGAAAAACCUAGAUGUCAAAUAUUUGAAACACUGAUGAGUGUUAAGAUUUCUAGAACUUGUAAUCCUUAAUAAUCUGAAUUCUCUUUAAUAAGUUGGUCUCACAACCUGACUCCACAGAUAUCUAUCUACAAUUCAAGACUUAGAGCCAUGCUAUGAGAGGGUUAGUCAUUGUUACACAAAAUAGUCCUCCCUGGUUCUGAUGGUACUGCAAUGGACUCAUCUCAAAAUGUGCAAAAUGCAUUUAACGAUUCUCUCUUUUUCCCUCUCUCUCAGAUAUAUGAGUCCUGAGAAUAUAAAGAAUUUUUCAGAAAGCAAAAAACUCCUCUCCUUUCUUAGAAAAUUACUACUCAACUGGGUGUAUAAUACUAAAAAAGAUAAAGGGGUUCCAUCAAGGUGAGCAAUGCUGAAAUCAGAAAUGUGAUGGUAACUUUUGAAAGUUAGUUUCUUUUUAAAUUAUAAUCUAAAUAAUUUGAAGUUGUUUAUAAUUUAAUUCCUUACACACAUAUGAAAAAGUACUUAAGAGAAGGGGAAACGCAAAAGUAACAUUUUUCUUGUAUUUGGGAGACUGGGGUGUUUUGGUUUUUUGUUUGUUUGUUUGUUGUUGUUGUUGUUGUUGUUUUCAAGACAGGGUUUCUCUGUAAAGUCCUGGCUGUCCUGGAACUCACUCUGUAGACCAGACCUCGAACUCAGAAAUCCACCUGCCUCUGCCUCCCAAGUGCUUGGAUUAAAGGUGUGCGCCACCAUGCCUGGCUGUGUUUUGUAUUUUUAAGGUGCUGUGUAUGCUAGACAAACAUUCUAGUACUGUGCUAAGUGCUCUCUUUUUAAUUAGUAUGAUAUAUAAUAUUUAAUUAUAUUUAUAUUUACAUAAUAAUUACAUAAUUAUAUGCAGUUAUAUUUAAUUAGUAUGUUAUAAAUAUGUACAGCAAUAUAUUUAUUGUGACAUUUUCAUACCCAUAAUAUUCACUUCUGCUGUCCACUCUUGUCACCCUCCAACUCUUCUAAACUAACUACUCUUCUACAUUCAUGUCUUUGUGUGUGUGUGUGUGUGUGUGUGUGUGUGUGUGUGUGUGUGUGUGUUGGGUGUAUAUGUGCAUGUGUGUGUGUACAAGAGGAGAGAGAAUAAAAGGUGUUAUGCCCCCAAAAUGGUCCAACGAUGAGCUAAUCUCAUCCAGUGAUAUUUAUUUCAUUUUCUUAUAUUUCUGGGAUGAAGUGGGUAUUUUAAAAGAUUCAAGGAUAUUGCUGGGAAAGGAGUAUCUGGAAAAACUAUGGGCCUCAUUAAUGUCAAUACAUUCUCAAACAGUUCUAUUUGCAAUCCUUCUACUUUUUUAAAAAAUAAAAAUAAAAAUCUGGAAUUGCCCAGUCCAAGUAUGAGGAAGGGGAACCUGGUACUCAUGGGAGCUGUGAAAGGAGAACAGUUAAAAAGGUUUGUGGUGGGAGUCUGCACAGUAGCUAGAAAGUCUGUGAUCUACUACUUAGAAGCAGUGACAAAGCUGAAGAAAUGUUCCUCUUGUUCUCCCAUCAGCUCUCAGCUGCAUAUAUAACCACAGG